UUUUUACGGAGAGUUUGAUCCUGGCUCAGGACGAACGCUGGCGGCGUGCUUAACACAUGCAAGUCGAACGAUGAUGC
rnacentral:rRNA from 3 species